AUAGCGUAUAUUAAAGUUGUUGCAGUUAAAAAGCUCGUAGUUGAACCUUGGACCUGGCCGACUGGUCUGCCUCACCGCAUGCACUGGUUUGGCUGGGUCUUUCCUUCUGGCAAGCCGCAUGCUCUUCACUGGGUGUGUUGGGGAACCAGGACUUUUACUUUGAAAAAAUUAGAGUGUUCAAAGCAGGCAUUGGCUCGAAUACAUUAGCAUGGAAUAAUAGAAUAGGACGUGUGGUUCUAUUUUGUUGGUUUCUAGGACCACCGUAAUGAUUAAUAGGGAUAGUCGGGGGCAUCAGUAUUCAAUCGUCAGAGGUGAAAUUCUUGGAUCGAUUGAAGACUAACUACUG
rnacentral:rRNA from 1 species